rnacentral:tRNA from 16 species
GCCGGGAUGGCGGAAUAGGUAGACGCACGGGACUCAAAAUCCCGCGCCGCAAGGCGUACCGGUUCGAUUCCGGUUCCCGGCACCA